UACGGAGGGUGCAAGCGUUGCUCGGAAUCACUGGGCGUAAAGCGACCGCAGGCGGCCUGACAAGUCGGAUGUGAAAGCCCUGGGCUCAACUCAGGAAUUGCAUUCGAAACUGGCAGGCUCGAGUACGGGAGAGGGGGGUGGAAUUCCUGGUGUAGGGGUGAAAUUCGUUGAUAUCAGGAGGAACACCGGCGGCGAAGGCGGCCCCCUGGCCCGCAACUGACGCUCAUGGUCGAAAGCGUGGGGAGCAAACAGG
rnacentral:rRNA from 1 species